AGCGAACGCUGGCGGCAGGCCUAAUACAUGCAAGUCGAACGGCUCUUCGGAGCAGUGGCGGACGGGUGAGUAACGCGUGGGAACGUGCCCUUUGGUUCGGAACAACACAGGGAAACUUGUGCUAAUACCGAAUGUGCCCUUCGGGGGAAAGAUUUAUCGCCAUUGGAGCGGCCCGCGUUGGAUUAGGUAGUUGGUGGGGUAAAGGCCUACCAAGCCUACGAUCCAUAGCUGGUCUGAGAGGAUGAUCAGCCACACUGGGACUGAGACACGGCCCAGACUCCUACGGGAGGCAGCAGUAGGGAAUCUUGCGCAAUGGGCGAAAGCCUGACGCAGCCAUGCCGCGUGAAUGAUGAAGGUCUUAGGAUUGUAAAAUUCUUUCACCGGGGAAGAUAAUGACGGUACCCGGAGAAGAAGCCCCGGCUAACUUCGUGCCAGCAGCCGCGGUAAUACGAAGGGGGCUAGCGUUGCUCGGAAUUACUGGGCGUAAAGGGCGCGUAGGCGGACAGUUAAGUCAGAGGUGAAAGCCCAGGGCUCAACCUUGGAAUUGCCUUUGAUACUGGCUGUCUAUGAGUUCGGGAGAGG
rnacentral:rRNA from 1 species